rnacentral:tRNA from 1 species
GGGGGCGUGGCGGAAUGGUAGACGCGGCGGAUUCAAAAUCCGCUUCAGCAAUGAGUGUCGGUUCGAGUCCGACCGUCCCUACCA